AUGGGAAGAAUUACCGGAAUCAAAAAGCGUCGGUCUUCAUUAGCGCAGUGGUUCACGAUUUCGUUUCCAAUUUGCGGUGGUGGUCUACAAGCGGAUCUGCAACAUGAGUUAAGUGUCGAUGGUGAUUGCGAUGUCGUAUGGAAGGCGUGGCUUGUCAGAGUUCGUCGGAUUCGUUUGCAGAUCUGGGUGUGGUUGGCAUGGAAGAAUGGAAGAAAGGUCGCGGUUGGAAUGAUGUGUAUCGAUGAACGGCGGGGUUCUGGUCACGCGAUGGAGGUGUUGUUAUUGCGGUGGCAUCUCUGUUUUCUUCUCUUUCUCAACAACCUAAAUGGAGCUCGAAUGAUGUGA